rnacentral:rRNA from 1 species
GGGUUGUGAGGUUAAGCGACUAAGCGUACACGGUGGAUGCCCUGGCAGUCAGAGGCGAUGAAGGACGUGCUAAUCUGCGAUAAGCGUCGGUAAGGUGAUAUGAACCGUUAUAACCGGCGAUUUCCGAAUGGGGAAACCCAGUGUGAUUCGUCACACUAUCGUUAACUGAAUACAUAGGUUAACGAAGCGAACCGGGGGAACUGAAACAUCUAAGUACCCCGAGGAAAAGAAAUCAACCGAGAUUCCCCCAGUAGCGG